GGCGAACGCUGGCGGCGUGCUUAACACAUGCAAGUCGAACGGAAAGGCCCUGCUUUUGUGGGGUGCUCGAGUGGCGAACGGGUGAGUAACACGUGAGUAACCUGCCCUUGACUUUGGGAUAACUUCAGGAAACUGGGGCUAAUACCGGAUAGGAGCUCCUGCUGCAUGGUGGGGGUUGGAAAGUUUCGGCGGUUGGGGAUGGACUCGCGGCUUAUCAGCUUGUUGGUGGGGUAGUGGCUUACCAAGGCUUUGACGGGUAGCCGGCCUGAGAGGGUGACCGGCCACAUUGGGACUGAGAUACGGCCCAGACUCCUACGGGAGGCAGCAGUGGGGAAUAUUACACAAUGGGCGGAAGCCUGAUGCAGCAACGCCGCGUGCGGGAUGACGGCCUUCGGGUUGUAAACCGCUUUCGCCUGUGACGAAGCGUGAGUGACGGUAAUGGGUAAAGAAGCACCGGCUAACUACGUG
rnacentral:rRNA from 1 species